AGCAACCAAACUGGCGGGAGCACGAUCGAGGCGCAGCAGAAUACAUGUAGCGCUGAGUAAUAUCGAGUUAAGGCGCACUCUGAACUGACUUUUAAGGGCAUCCCGAGCCGUUUUUCGUUUAUUACGCCGCCGUUAGCCCGAGUAGUGCCGCCACGCUCCAGCUGUUGCAUUUCGUGUAGGGCUACUGACAGAAUGCGGUUUCCAGAUGGCACGAUGGCCUCGACUGGAAUAAACGCACAGGACACCAAAGAUUGAUUCUUCAACACAAGCGAACCAAUGUGGACGUUCUUGUCAUCUGAAAAAGUUACGGUCGACUGUAAAGUGGAAGUGGUGAAAAGUAUAACUGACACUUACGUCAGCUUUCAAAGUUCUUUCAUCGUGAAAAACUUCAGGGCAAAUUUGACAAUUCUGGGGACAUUUAAGAUGAUGGACGCCGAGAAGAACAACAAUAAGUUUGACACUGUUCUGCUUUCCAACCCAGGUCGUCAGCCUUACGGAUACGAACGUCUUUUGUUCCAAACACCGGACAACAAAUGUGGUGUCUUUUUGGUGGCCAUAUAUGGUAGCAAGUAAAUACAAUCUGCGAUCUGAUAGCAUGGUUUCCUGGCGUCACCACUAUUGUCCUUUACCAGAAUCUGCGCUUGGACGAUGAGGUCGGACUGAGGGCUAUUAACCCGUCCCGCAUGUCCCGAAUGAAUCAGCUCUUGGGCACGAUGCCGGCCAUGGGAAUGGACAACUUGUCAUUGCGCAAGACGACUCUCAUCAACUUGCUCUCCAAGUCCCCGAAGCUGGCCGUGGUCAUGUCGCCAAAUGUGCAUGGGGCACUGUCUGCUAUGGAGACGGCAGCAGCUGCAAUCAAACGCCCGCCGGCCUCCUUUCAGCGCAAAGAACUAUUCCUAGGUUGUGCUAUCAUUCAUCACACUGGAGCCCCCCAAGUACUUGUGGCAAAGGGUUGUUCCGCCACAGAGAAAGCCCACCAACACUUCGCAGAAGUUGAACAUCUUGAACUAUCAGCCAGAUGUGAAUCUGUCCUCGAGAAAGUUGCCAGGUAUACCAAAGUCACGCACCUUACGCUCAUCUUCGGCUCGUCAAAAUCUACUUGCUCUUUCUAGCCUCACGUGACGAAAGUGCUAUCUGUACUCCACCUGGUCCACUUGUCACUUACAAACUUCAGUGAAGUGAAACUGUCAGUCAUCGCAAAUCAGUGUCCACAACUGGAGUUCCUUGGAAUAUGCGCAUGUGGUGUUGAAGAUGAAAACAGCUCUGGAAAUUUCGCCAACUUGGAACACCUUCGCAUCGGCAGUAACAUGAA